UACAGAGGUCUCAAGCGUUGUUAGGAUUCAUUGGGCGUAAAGGGUGCGUAGGUGGCGUGGUAAGUCGGGUGUGAAAUUUCGGAGCUUAACUCCGAAACUGCAUUCGAUACUGCUGUGCUUGAGGACUGGAGAGGAGACUGGAAUUUACGGUGUAGCAGUGAAAUGCGUAGAGAUCGUAAGGAAGACCAGUGGCGAAGGCGGGUCUCUGGACAGUUCCUGACACUGAGGCACGAAGGCCAGGGGAGCAAACGGG
rnacentral:rRNA from 1 species